CAGAUUUCCCUGUCUGAACGCUUAUCAGGAAAACCUUUCCAGAUGCCUGGAAGACGUUCUGCUGAGCCGAGUCUUGGCUUUUGGUGCACGAGAUCCCUUUAUAAGUUGCUGCUGUUUGCUCUACCUGCCUCAUAUAUACUCUCCAACCGAUGUCACAAGCACUACAAGGAACUGCUGCUUGCACCAUUGACAGUGAUUCCUGGCUGGAUUUCAUUGUGAGAUCUGCUUUAUGCAAAGAGGAUUCUGCAUUUGAACAUAAAGAAUUGUAUAAGAUUAUUUCUGGAGACCAACACAGUGAGCAUAGGUGUGGCAUCACACCACCCUCUGCCUGAGUCAUCUGUGCCCCUUUUCCCUGCCAAGCCUCUCAUGAUUCGUUCACUUUUAUUUUAAGUUGGAAAAAAAAAAAUGUUCAGAAAACUGGCUCAUAUGGAAAAAAAAAAUCAGGUCACUCAGAUUGGUCUGCAGAUUCAGGUCACAUUCAGUGACGAGUCUAAAUGGAAAAAAUACAGGAGAAUCAGUAAAAUGAGAAGUAUUUUUCCUAUUCCUUCACCAUGAAAUCUCGUUGUUAGUUUAAAAAAUAUUGGACAAACAUCUCAAGUCCAAAAUAUUAAACAGAGAUUAAACAGAGAAGGAAAUAAUCCAGAAGCAAACCAGAUGCAAUCUUUUCACAAGCCAAAUGUCCUAUUAAACCUCAAAUGGCUUUUUGAUUCGGAGUGAUCAGAACAUUUUUUAAAUUGUUUUGAGUAAAAUACUGAACCAGAAGAUGGUUAUUUGCAAUUCAAUCUAAAACUAACAGCUGAAGAUUUGUUUUCAAUGUAUUCCAAAGACAGGCAGUGUCAUUCAGAUUUUCACUGUGACUUUCCUUCCCGUGUUCUUGAGUUCUUUUUUGGCACGGGAAGUGAGCAGGUGUGAGCCAAGGCAAGGUGGCCCACAGGCCGUAACCAACAAAUAACUAAUUGGCAUCUGUGUUGCAACAGGGCAAAGAUCCAGCCAAAUUAUGAUGAGGCACCGUGCCAUCCUAAUAGACUCACAUUACCACGGAUGCCAAGAUCCCAUAAAUUUGCAUUAUUCACAUUUAGUUAGGGCAGGAUUCCCAGCUGGGAAAUUCCACAUGGCUGUCCAUCUCCAUCACAUACAAUUACGAUAGAAAAGGUCUCUGUGACUAAUCCA